rnacentral:rRNA from 1 species
GAUGAACGCUGGCGGCGUGCUUAACACAUGCGAGUCGAACGAAGCAUUUAAGACAGAUUACUUCGGUUUGAAGUCUUUUAUGACUGAGUGGCGGACGGGUGAGUAACGCGUGGGUAACCUGCCUCAUACAGGGGGAUAGCAGCUGGAAACGGCUGGUAAUACCGCAUAAGCGCACAGUACCACAUGGUACAGUGUGAAAAACUCCGGUGGUAUGAGAUGGACCCGCGUCUGAUUAGCUUGUUGGCGGGGUAACGGCCCACCAAGGCGACGAUCAGUAGCCGACCUGAGAGGGUGACCGGCCACAUUGGGACUGAGACACGGCCCAGACUCCUACGGGAGGCAGCAGUGGGGAAUAUUGCACAAUGGAGGAAACUCUGAUGCAGCGACGCCGCGUGAGUGAAGAAGUAGUUCGCUAUGUAAAGCUCUAUCAGCAGGGAAGAUAGUGACGGUACCUGACUAAGAAGCGCCGGCUAAAUACGUG